rnacentral:rRNA from 1 species
CGUUGAAGACUACGACGUUGAUAGGCAAGGUGUGGAAGCGCAGUAAUGUGUGAAGCUAACUUGUACUAAUUGGCUGAUUGUCUUGACCAUAUAAUCUGAG